rnacentral:rRNA from 1 species
CCUACGGUGAGCAGCAGUGAGGAAUAUUGGUCAAUGGGCGGAAGCCUGAACCAGCCAAGUCGCGUGAGGGAAUAAGGCCCUACGGGUCGUAAACCUCUUUUGCCGGGGAGCAAGGGCCGGGAAGCGUCCCGGCCCGGAGAGCACCCGGAGAAAACGCAUAGGCUAAAUCCGUGACAGCAGCCGCGGUAAUACGGAGGAUGCGAGCGAUAUACGGAUUUAUUGGGUUUAAAGGGAGCGGGGAUGGGUUGUUAAGUCAGUUGUGAAAGGUUGCGGCUCAACCGUAAAAUUGCAAUUGAUACUGGCAGUCUUGAGUACAGUUGAGGUAGGCGGAAUUCGUGGUGUAGCGGUGAUAUGCUUAGAUAGCACGAAGAACUCCGAUUGCGAAGGCAGCUUA